CAAGGCAGUUCAGCAUAGAGUUCCUCUUUCCUUUCAAAAUCUGAUGCAGAGAUUAAUUCUUUAGCGUGAUCCCAUUUCUGUAGUGUAUCUUGUAAGAAUCACUGUGAUAGAUGAAGAAAUAUUCUGGAAAUAUUGCAGGUUAUGUACAUCAGGAAAUUAAGAAGUCCAACCUCAAACUGUCAGCAGUCCUUUCCAAUGCCCUUUUAGUGCUCUCAUCAGAGGCCAAGAUGCUGGUGCAAGUCCAUUGUUUGCUCUCACUGUACUCUUUGAUCUGAGCUCCUUAAUGUGAACUGAAAGAGAAAUGGGCCAUUCAGCAUACUGACUGCAAAGCAUCUACUGAAUAAUGGGAAAACGCUACUCAAGCUCCUGCAUAUUUACAAAACAAUGUGAAUCUAUAACCAUUUACAUCCAAGAUUCUGGACUACAAAUUCUGUAAGGAACAUGAAAAACAGUGCUAAGAGUAUUUGACAAAAACCCAGGCUAUGUUUCAAAUCCUCACACCCCAUUCAGCAGAUAAAUUCAACUGUGUUCCACUAUAAGACUGAAAACCUGAUACACUGGCCUUCUCCACAAAGCCAGAAUAAAUAAAUCCUUUAUUGUGGAUCUUUCCUGCCCUUCUUUUGCCCCCAGAUAAUUGCUUUCUUUAAUGCUCUCUUCACCAAAAAUAAAUAGAGACUCAGUUUAAGCUGAAAUAGAAGCCGAACAUGGCUUGAAUCUCUUUUUUUCUCCCCCCUCCCCAGCUCAUCCAGAGUUCCUGUGGUAGAGCCCAUUAGGAGUGGAUGAAAGCAGAUAGCUCAAAGCCCACAUAGUUAUUCCUGGGUUUAAAUACAGAUUGGAAAUGAAUGUCCUGUGGAUAAAUGUCUGUGAAAAACACAGAGGAGAAUAAGUGCUUGGGAGAUUAAGAGAUUUACU